rnacentral:lncRNA from 1 species
UUUGAUCCUGUUCGGAAGAGAAGCUCCAUCCUUUUGCAUCACGAUGAAGGCUGCUGUUAUUCUUGCUGUUUUUGCUGCGGUGCUGUGUGCCAGCACUGUCAACUGUGACUGCCUUUGUCCCCGCAUCCUUGACCCCGUCUGUGACACCGCCGGCAACUACUACGACAACUCGUGUCAGUUGAACUGUGUUGAGGGUGCCGUCCAGGCCGCAGAAGGCGCAUACACCUUCAGUGCCAACUCUUGCGUUGCUGCCAGGAAGUAGAUGACUUUCACCUUCACCUUUGACCAAAUGGAGCGUCCCCGACUACAGAAGCACAUAUUGAUUGUGCAAUAAAAUAUUUAAGUAAUCCA